rnacentral:rRNA from 1 species
AGUGAACGCUGGCGGUAGGCCUAACACAUGCAAGUCGAACGGCAGCACAGUAAGAGCUUGCUCUUACGGGUGGCGAGUGGCGGAUGGGUGAGGAAUAUAUCGGAAUCUACUUUUUCGUGGGGGAUAACGUAGGGAAACUUACGCUAAUACCGCAUACGAACUACGGGUGAAAGCAGGGGAUCUUCGGACCUUGCGCGAUUGAAUGAGCCGAUGUCGGAUUAGCUAGUUGGCGGGGUAAAGGCCCACCAAGGCGACGAUCCGUAGCUGGUCUGAGAGGAUGAUCAGCCACACUGGAACUGAGACACGGCCCAGACUCCUACGGGAGGCAGCAGUGGGGAAUAUUGGACAAUGGGCGCAAGCCUGAUCCAGCCAUACCGCGUGGGUGAAGAAGGCCUUCGGGUUGUAAAGCCCUUUUGUUGGGAAAGAAAAGCAGCAGGUUAAUACCCCGCUGUUCUGACGGUACCCAAAGAAUAAGCACCGGCUAACUUCGUG